rnacentral:rRNA from 1 species
UACGUAGGGGGCUAGCGUUGUCCGGAUUUAUUGGGCGUAAAGAGCGUGUAGGCGGCUCGGUAAGUCUGCUGUGAAAGUCCAGGGCUCAACCCUGGAAAGCCGGUGGAAACUGUCGGGCUAGAGUCCGGAAGAGGCGAGUGGAAUUCCUGGUGUAGCGGUGAAAUGCGCAGAUAUCAGGAGGAACACCAAUGGCGAAGGCAGCUCGCUGGGACGGUACUGACGCUGAGACGCGAAAGCGUGGGGAGCAAACAGG